ACUAAAGACAGUGAACUGAUUUUUUUGUUUAUUUUUAAUCCAGUAAGUGUUCCAAUGGGGCUGACAAGUACCAGAACUUGGAAGGCAGGUGAGAAGUUGUUGAGCCUGCAGGAGUGAGUUACACAGCAGCUUGGUUCAAGGCCAGCCAAAGAGAACAAGAGGCAGCGCUGCUCUGCAAAGGCAGAGUCUGUAGGAGGCUGGAGCAGAAACUGCAUUGUGGGCCUCCGAGCAGUCAGUGCCCUCAGAGUACUCCCGUAGAGCUUGAACUCCAUCAGUGACCUCACCGAAGAAACCAUCGAUUCAUACACGAUGCCAUAAAGUGCCACCGAGGGCUCACCAAUAUAACCCCUGCGCAGCAACGUGAGAAAUGAAGCGGAGUUGUAUCUGUGGCGUCUGUAAAGAUGAGAGUCCUACCUGAAGGCAUCCAGAGCGCGUAUACACGCAUGAAUAGCAGUGUGACCAAGUCCGUAAGAGAGAUGUUUUGGUUGCUUCUCUUUCACCUCCACCAUUCUGUGCUGAAAGGAAAGGAUCUGCAAGUAAAGACGGUCUCUUUUCAAGAAGUCCAACAUCAGCUCAGGAUGCAGUUUGUACUAUCGGAGCGUCUACCACAACCCUUUCACAAGUUAUCAGAGCCCAAAAUCUGGUCCAGAGUGACACAGUGAUGACUGGGGAAAGCUAGUUCUGUGACAUCCUUUUCAAUAUUUCUGGCAAUGUGUGAUGAAAAGCUGCCAGAAUGCUUCAUUCAAAAGAGUGAGAAUUCAAAGGCAAAAGAACCAAGACCUCCAUCAGCAGAGAGAGAUUUAGGUUCAGCAAUACUGACUGUGGCUCUGUGUGACUCCUGCCUCUGGGAGAGGAAUUCACAACCCAAAUGGAGACUUUCAACACGCAGAUGGCUGAAAAGUGUCAAAAGGAGCUGCUGGGAUAUGUGUCUGACAUCCAGAAUGAAAUCACAGCAAACACGAGUGAUGUCUUGAGACUGUCGUCUUGCAGGAUAGCCUCACUGCGAGCACACCUUCUCAGGCAGUGGGAGAUCUGAGGUCCUUAACCCCUCUGCUUCAUGGGGAUUUGAAUCUAUGCGGCUCAAGAGUGCAGCUGAACGAGGCUCAGCAGAAGUUGUGUGCAAAAAAGUGAUAUUCACCCAAUCAGUGCAAAAGUGUAAGCAAGCGAAGGGUGUAGCUGAGUCUCCUGCCCUCUGAAGAAGCCCUUCCUUGAGAGGAGCUGGGCACAGACUCCCCACUGCUGAGGACCCUUUUCAUCAGUCUACAUUAUAUUGUCACCGGAGCUAAACCUUGAAGUAUGUCAGGAACCAAAACCGGACUUCAGUGUGGUGUACGAGUAUUCCCCUCAGGGUAACAAAAGAGUCAGUAUGUCACUCUAAAAGUAGCUGCUAAAAACCAGACGUUAGAGAAAACAAUGCAUGCUGGAUGGCAGCCCGCUGUCAUGCUGGGAAGCAUGUUAUCCCAUCCGUGGCACUACAUGAUGUAGUAGAGACAUGAUGCUGGAUUAAACCUGUUGAGGAUUUGAUCUAAUAUAAUACACUCAAAUUUUCUUGUGUAUGCUUAAGUCUAGACUUUGAACAGAGGAAUAAAUCAUAAUGACAAAGCACAAGCAGGAAAGAAGAAACUAUCUAUCAUCUAGCUUGGAAAGGUAAAGCAGCAUUACACUUGAUAUGAAGAUACAAAACUUUAACAGCUGUAGAUGCCCAUGAGCAAGGUCUCCAAGGAGAAGCUGUACCAGCAGCACACAGUGGAUACCACAGAAUGGAACAAGUGCUUGUAG